rnacentral:rRNA from 1 species
CGAGGCGAGCCUGAUCCAGCCAUGCCGCGUGUGUGAGAAGGUCUUCAGAUUGUAAAGCACUUUUAGUUGGGAGGAAGGGCCUUAAGUUAAUACCUUGCUGUAUUGACCGUACCUCACAAAAGCCCCGGCUAACUUCGUGCCCACCACCGCGAUAAUUA